UACGAAGGGGGCUAGCGUUGCUCGGAAUUACUGGGCGUAAAGCGCACGUAGGCGGCUUUCUAAGUCGGGGGUGAAAUCCUGGAGCUCAACUCCAGAACUGCCUUCGAUACUGGAGAGCUCGAGUCCGGGAGAGGUGAGUGGAACUGCGAGUGUAGAGGUGAAAUUCGUAGAUAUUCGCAAGAACACCAGUGGCGAAGGCGGCUCUCUGGAACGCAACUGACGCUGAGACGCGAAAGCGUGGGGAGCAAACAGG
rnacentral:rRNA from 1 species